GGAAGGAUCAUCACUGUAUUCCGUCCAUUUGAUCUGGGAUUCAAACUCGUCUUAACCUCUAAAUCAUUCACGUGAUGUACGAGGGACGAGCCCAGUCAAACCCAUUGUGAGCUCGUUGAAGUCCAAACAAAAUCAAAAAAAAGGAUAAAAGGAAGAAAUGAAAUCACUUGAUUUCUCUUUCCUUUCUUUUUCUUCUUUUUUUAUUUAAACUCUUAAACUUCAACUCUCAAUAUGAUCAUCGAUAAGCAAUUAUCGACAAACAAUUUUUUUAAAUUUUGCCAAGUCAUUUGAUGAAGCAAAUUUAAAAUAAAAUAAAAAUAACCUUAGACAACUUAUAACAGUGGAUACCUAGGCUCCUAGUUCGAAGAAGAACGCAGCAAACUGCGAUAAGUUAUGUGAAUUGCAGAAUUCCGUGAAUCAUCGAAUUUUUGAACGCAAAUUGCGCCCCGGCGUUGAGCUUGGGCGUGUCUGUUCGAGUGUCAGCAAUAAACAAUCAAAUCUUUUACUGGAUUUGGAGAUGGGAGAUCAAAGACCGGGGCGGGUAAGACCGUCUUGGACCAUUCUUGACCUUCUUAAAUUGAAAUUGUUUUGGAGGAGAAUGCAUUUGUGAUCAAUUUUGAUUCGUCUCACUUGAGCAACCUUUUACGAGGUUAUAGGACGACGUUUCGGACUUGGAUGGCGCGUGUAGCUUCAAUUUGUCAUAGCAAUGUGACUUAUUUGGAAUAAACUCACCCUCCCCUGUGAAAUUAAGUGGACCUAUGUCUGCAUUUUUACUCCAGGGUCGAGAGAUCAUCCUAAAAUCGAAAGACUGUCUAUCAAUUCGUCUCAAGAGAAGCGCUUAGGGCAACUAAACAUUGCCGAUCUAUUGUGGAAUGUAUUCAUUACUCUUGGUCCCGUGGCCCCGACGAUUCCUUCUCGGGUGGUCCCCAUGGACAAAUUUCAUCAAAAUCUCGACCUCGAAUCAGGCAAGACUACGCGCUGAACUUAAGCAUAUUACUAAGCGCAGGAAAAGAAAAUAACAAUGAUUCCCUCAGUAACGGCGAGUGAAGCGGGAAGAGCUCAAACUUAAAAUCUGGGCCCCUUAUGGAGCUCCGAGUUGUAGUUUUUGGAUUGGCAAUUGCGGUAUUGUCGACGUCUAGGCGUAAGUUCUUUGGAACAAGGCAUCAGAGAGGGUGAGAAUCCCGUAUGCAGCCUCGUCGAUGGUGCGUUACGCAUUUGUCUUUCUACGAGUCGGUAUGAUUGGGACUUCAUACCAAAGUAGGAGGUAGUUCUCUUCUAAAGCUAAAUAUUACUAGGAGACCGAUAGCGAAGAAGUAGUGUGAACGAAAGGUGAAAAGAACUUUGAAAAAAAGGUCAAAAGUGCUUGAAGCUGUUAUAAGGGAACGAUAUGUAGCCAGUGAUUGCACGCAGUAAUUCACUCCAUUGGCUGGAAGCGGCGCGGGACGCACGGAGGUGUACGCCACGGAGCGCCCGGUCGCCAAGGAGAAUGGAGGUACUUUGCUGUGUUGCGUGUCAACAUCAGUUCGGUGGCGGCGGAGAAAGGCGAGAGGAAGGUGAGUUGCGUCUUCGGGCGUAACUGUUAUAGCCUCUUGUUGCAUACGUCGCUCUGGACUGUGGCAGAUAAACACGUGCCUCGGCGAGGAAGUCGGUGGACCCGGGUGGUUGGAAGUAUGUCUCUGCUUGCAGGGCAUGCUUCCGACCGGCACGGCAAAGCUGGCCCCAUCAGCGUGUUCGGCAUGUUGACGAAAUGGCUUCAUAUCACCCGUCUUGAAACACGGACCAAGGAGACUAUUAUGUUUGCAAGUAUUUGGGUGGAAAACCCACGUGCACAAUGAAAGUGAACGAUGCCAAGCCGCAAGGCUGCAGCAUCGGCCGACCUUACUUUGGUAAGGAUCGAGUCGGAGCAGACAUGAUGGGACCCGAAAGAUGGUGAACUUAGCGUGCGCAGGGUGAAGCCAGAGGAAACUCUGGUGGAGGCUCGUAGAGAUACUGACGUGCAAAUCGUUCUUCUGACGUGCGUUAAGGGGCGAAAGACUAAUCGAACCAUCUAGUAGCUGGUUCCCAC
rnacentral:misc_RNA from 1 species